AGGGCGGUAACUCAAUUGGUAGAGUAGCGGUCUCCAAAACCGCCUGUUGGGGGUUCGAGUCCCUCCCGCCCUGCCA
rnacentral:tRNA from 1 species